GAGAGCACUGAUGUUUGGAGGUAUUUUCCCGCCAUUUCCUUCGCAUGAAGAGCACAGAACGGUCCGGAACGCCUUCCGAAAGUGGAAUGGCUUUCGAAAUCUGACCUCGGAAAACACUGAGGGGGAAGGGGGCUAACUAAACCAGGCGAACUACAUUUCACCAAAAGACAAAUCUCAGAGAAGACAAGUAACGCUCAAGAUGGUGGCUGUGCCGUCAACCUCUGUUGCCGGUCACGUACUGGCUGCUACUGCUACAAUUUCUA